rnacentral:rRNA from 1 species
UACGUAGGGUGCGAGCGUUAAUCGGAAUUACUGGGCGUAAAGCGCGCGUAGGUGGUUUGUUAAGUUGGAUGUGAAAGCCCCGGGCUCAACCUGGGAACUGCAUCCAAAACUGGCAAGCUAGAGUACGGUAGAGGGUGGUGGAAUUUCCUGUGUAGCGGUGAAAUGCGUAGAUAUAGGAAGGAACACCAGUGGCGAAGGCGACCACCUGGACUGAUACUGACACUGAGGUGCGAAAGCGUGGGGGGCAAACAGG